UACGUAGGGUGCAAGCGUUGUCCGGAAUUAUUGGGCGUAAAGAGCUCGUAGGCGGUUUGUCGCGUCUGCUGUGAAAACCCGAGGCUCAACCUCGGGCCUGCAGUGGGUACGGGCAGGCUAGAGUUCGGCAGGGGAGACUGGAAUUCCUGGUGUAGCGGUGAAAUGCGCAGAUAUCAGGAGGAACACCGGUGGCGAAGGCGGGUCUCUGGGCCGAUACUGACACUGAGGAGCGAAAGCGUGGGGAGCGAACAGG
rnacentral:rRNA from 1 species